rnacentral:rRNA from 1 species
UACAGAGGUCUCAAGCGUUGUUCGGAUUCAUUGGGCGUAAAGGGUGUGUAGGUGGCGCCCGUAAGUCGGGUGUGAAAAUUUCGGAGCUUAACUCCGAAACUGCAUUCGAUACUGCGGUGCUUGAGGACUGGAGAGGAGACUGGAAUUCAUGGUGUAGCAGUGAAAUGCGUAGAGAUCAUGAGGAAGACCAGUGGCGAAGGCGGGUCUCUGGACAGUUCCUGACACUGAGACACGAAGGCCAGGGGAGCAAACGGG